GCUGUUACUUUCUUGAUGUGGAGCCCCUAUCGCAUAUUUUCUCUUUAAGUCACGUUUGCUUAUAAUCUAUUUUCUAACUUUGAUAUAGUCGUGCAUUAGCUCCGCUCUCUCUCUAAUCUCUUGGCUUUGUAAACUAUUAUCGCUUAAGGCGCUAUUAUUGUCAGAGAACUUUACGAUCUCCAGAAUAGUAACAGUAUUCCCAUCGCAUGGCUGGAACUGAGGUUUCUUUGCACACAGUUUCACUCUUUUAAACAGUCAUGAUACCCCGAAGUGAGGAAGAAAAAGAGGAUAGAGGGAGGAGGGGAGGAAUAGAAUUUAUUGUCUCAAGAAUUUAUUGUCUCAGAGGAAGUUCAUUUUACCUUCAAAGAGAAUAGAAGAGGAACUACAAAAUUUAGGUCCCAAGGUAUGCCCACGUUGUUUACUCAUGUGUAAAGUCACAUGAUAUAAGUAACACCUGGUGAUGAACAAGCGAUUUUUAAGGAUUAUUCCAUCUUAAAAUAAGCAGAAUUCCCAAGCCCGCUAUAUAGAAAAUUAAGGAGCUAGUCAAGAUAAUAUUAAGGCAAAAGGACCCUGAGCUAUUAAACAUACCGUAAGUAACUCUGAAUUGCCUGUGCUACCUGUUAACUCGGUGAUGGCCUUUGGCACCUUUCGGCUCGGUGGAAAACGGCGAUUAUCGUGACUUUAAUGGAUACUGAUGUAUUUAUCUGCCUUUAGUAAUAGCCCUGCCUGCUUCUAAAAAGGGCCGUACUUGUAGGUUAUGCUUUACUUAAGUUUUAAUUUAUAUACCGAUAAGUAGUUGAUAAUACUUUGCAAUUUUGACGCUUUUUUGAAAGAUUUUUUUAAGUAAAGUGACAAGUUUAAAAACCCGAAAG